CUCCGGUUGAUCCCGCCGGACCCGACUGCUAUCAGAGUGGGACUAAGCCAUGCGAGUCAACAUAGCAAUAUGUGGCAUACGGCUCAGUAACACGUAGUCAACAUGCCCAGGGGACGUGGAUAACCUCGGGAAACUGAGGAUAAACCGCGAUAGGUCAUCACUUCUGGAAUGGGUAAUGACUUAAAUCUAUAUGGCCCCUGGAUUGGACUGCGGCCGAUCAGGCUGUUGGUGAGGUAAUGGCCCACCAAACCUGUAACCGGUACGGGCUCUGAGAGGAGGAGCCCGGAGAUGGGCACUGAGACAAGGGCCCAGGCCCUAUGGGGCGCAGCAGGCGCGAAACCUCUGCAAUAGGCGAAAGCUUGACAGGGUUACUCUGAGUGAUUUCCGUUAAGGAGAUCUUUUGGCACCUCUAAAAAUGGUGCAGAAUAAGGGGUGGGCAAGUCUGGUGUCAGCCGCCGCGGUAAUACCAGCACCCCGAGUGGUCGGGACGUUUAUUGGGCCUAAAGCAUCCGUAGCCGGUUCUACAAGUCUUCCGUUAAAUCCACCUGCUUAACAGAUGGGCUGCGGAAGAUACUAUAGAGCUAGGAGGCGGGAGAGGCAAGCGGUACUCGAUGGGUAGGGGUAAAAUCCGUUGAUCCAUUGAAGACCACCAGUGGCGAAGGCGGCUUGCCAGAACGCGCUCGACGGUGAGGGAUGAAAGCUGGGGGAGCAAACCGGAUUAGAUACCCGGGUAGUCCCAGCUGUAAACGAUGCAGACUCGGUGAUGAGUUGGCUUAUUGCUAACUCAGUGCUGCAGGGAAGCCGUUAAGUUUGCCGCCUGGGGAGUACGGUCGCAAGACUGAAACUUAAAGGAAUUGGCGGGGGAGCA
rnacentral:rRNA from 1 species